rnacentral:rRNA from 1 species
UACAGAGGUCCCGAGCGUUGUUCGGAUUUAUUGGGCGUAAAGGGUGCGUAGGCGGCGGAGUAAGUUGGGUGUGAAAUCCCGGGGCUUAACCUCGGAAUGGCAUUCAAUACUGCUUCGCUCGAGUACUGGAGAGGAGGCUGGAAUUUACGGUGUAGCAGUGAAAUGCGUAGAUAUCGUAAGGAAGGCCGGUGGCGAAAGCGAGCCUCUGGACAGUUACUGACGCUGAGGCGCGAAAGCUAGGGGAGCAAACGGG